rnacentral:rRNA from 1 species
UACGGGGGGGGCAAGCGUUGUUCGGAAUUACUGGGCGUAAAGGGCUCGUAGGCGGCCAACUAAGUCGGACGUGAAAUCCCCAGGCUCAACCUGGGAACUGCGUCCGAUACUGGAUGGCUUGAAUCCGGGAGAGGGAUGCGGAAUUCCAGGUGUAGCGGUGAAAUGCGUAGAUAUCUGGAGGAACACCGGUGGCGAAGGCGGCA